rnacentral:rRNA from 1 species
UACGUAGGGAGCAAGCGUUGUCCGGAAUCAUUGGGCGUAAAGCGCGCGUAGGUGGCCUCAUAAGUCCGCUGUGAAAGUCAAAGGCUCAACCUUUGAAAGCCGGUGGAUACUGUGGGGCUAGAGUACGGAAGAGGCGAGUGGAAUUCCUGGUGUAGCGGUGGAAUGCGCAGAUAUCAGGAGGAACACCAAUAGCGAAGGCAGCUCGCUGGGACGUUACUGACACUGAGGCGCGAAAGCGUGGGGAGCAAACGGG